AGAGCGUAGGGAGAAUGACUUGGCAUCAGGAGCCGAAGAAGGACGUGACAAGCUGCGAAAAGCUGCGGUUAGGAGCAAAUAUCCAUAGACCCGCAGAUAUCCGAAUGGGGAAACCCGGUACGGCAAUACCGUAUCACUGCAUGGUAAAUACAUAGCCAUGUGGAGGAAACCCUCUGAACUGAAACAUCUAAGUAGGAGGAGGAAGAGAAAGAAACAUCGAUUUCCUAAGUAGCGGCGAGCGAAAGGGAAAGAGGCCAAACCAGAGAUAGCAAUAUCUUUGGGGUUGCGGACUGCAUAAUUGAUUCAAUAUUUUUAGCAGAAGUGUAUGGGAAGACACACCAUAGUAGGUAAUAGUCCUGUAAGCGAAAAGGAUAUUGACAAGGCAGGAUCCAGAGUACCACCGGACACGAGGAACCCGGUGGGAAGCCGGGGGGACCACCCCCCAAGCCUAAAUACUACCUGAUGACCGAUAGUGAAAAGUACAGUGAUGGAAAGUUGAAAAGAACCCCGGAAGGGGAGUGAAAAAGAAUCUGAAACCCUAUGUUUACAAGCUGCUAAAGCACCAUAUGAGUGCGAUAGCGUACUUUUUGUAGAACGGUCCGGCGAGUGUAUGUUGCAAGCGAGGUUAAGGUGUUAAGCACUGAAGCCGAAGGGAGACCGAGUGUGAAUAGCGCGUACAGUUUGCAGUAUACGACCCGAAACCGGGUGACCUAACCAUGGACAGGUUGAAGUGGAAGUAAAAUUCCAUGGAGGACCGAACCCACGUCUGUUGAAAAAGGCGGGGAUGAGCUGUGGUUAGCGGUGAAAUUCCAAUCGAACUCGGAUAUAGCUGGUUCUCAUCGAAAUAGCUUUAGGGCUAGCCUCAGGAUAGUUUAGCGGAGGUAAAGCACUGAAUGGGCUAGGGGGCUUCACGGCUUACCGAACCCUAUCAAACUCUGAAUGCCGCAUAAAUGUUUCCUGGGAGUCAGACUGCGUGAGAUAAGUUUCGUAGUCAAAAGGGAAAGAGCCCAGACCUACAGCUAAGGUCCCUAAAUGAAUUUAAGUGGAAAAGGAUGUGCAGUUGCGUAGACAACUAGGACGUUGGCUUAGAAGCAGCCACUCAUUUAAAGAGUGCGUAAUAGCUCACUAGUCGAGUGAUUGUGCGCCGAAAAUGUAACGGGGCUAAAAUUCAUACCGAAGCUUAGGCUUUGCACACUUUGUGUGCGAGGGGUAGAUGAGCGUUGUGUAAGUCUGCGAAGCUACACCGAAAGGAGUAGUGGAGAUAUCACAAGUGAGAAUGCCGGAAUGAGUAGCGAGAAUUAUGUGAGAAUCAUAAUGGUCGAAAAUCUAAGGUUUCUUGAGGAAGGUUCGUCCGCUCAAGGUAAGCCGGGAGCUAAGGCGAGGCCGAGAGGCGUAGUCGAUGCACAUACGGUAAAGAUUCCGUAGCCACCGAAGUCGUUAAAUACAGGGACACAGGAACAUAGCCCAUCCCCACCGUUGGUUGAGUGGGGCGUAAGGGAGCGAAAAAUAGUAGCGAAGUGGGUGAUUGUACACUGGCGAGAAAAGCUGUAUGUAUUGACAAGGUGCCCGUACCGCAAACCGACACAGGUAGAUGAGGAGAGAAUCCUAAGACCAGCGGGAGAAGUGUUGUUAAGGAACUCGGCAAAAUGACCCCGUAACUUCGGGAUAAGGGGAGCCUACGCGAGUAGGCCGCAGAGAAUAGUCUCAAGCGACUGUUUAGCAAAAACACAGGUCUAUGCUAAAUCGAAAGAUGAUGUAUAUGGGCUGACGCCUGCCCGGUGCUGGAAGGUUAAGGGGAAGUGUUAGAGCAAUCGAAGCAAGGUAGCGAAAUUCCUUGUCAGGUAAGUUCUGACCCGCACGAAUGGCGUAACGACUUGAGAGCUGUCUCAACAACAUACCCGGCGAAAUUGAAGUACUGGUAAAGAUGCCAGUUACCCGUGAUAAGACGGAAAGACCCCAUGGAGCUUUACUGUAACUUGAUAUUGAAUUUUUGUAUUACAUGUACAGGAUAGGUGGGAGACAGAGAACCAAUGCCGCCAGGUGUUGGGGAGUCGAUGUUGGGAUACCACUCUUGUAAUAUGAAGGUUCUAACCUGCACCCGUGAAUCCGGGUGGGGGACACUGUCAGGUGGACAGUUUGACUGGGGCGGUCGCCUCCUAAAAGGUAACGGAGGCGUUCAAAGGUUGGUUCAGCACGGACGGAAAUCGUGCAACGAGUGCAAACGCAUAAACCAGCCUAACUGCGAGACCGACAAGUCGAGCAGUAACGAAAGUUGGAGUUAGUGAUCCGGCGGUAUGAGAGUGGAAUUGC
rnacentral:rRNA from 1 species